AACUAUGUAUGUAUUUAGUUUUAGCGUUUGUUCCCGCUUUGAGGGCGUGAAAUGCCGUGUCAUUGUCCCUAAUAAGUCAUUGUCCCGGCAUUUCAAUUGUCGCCCAUAAGCAUGAACCAAGCCACCAACUCACAAGCUUACAUGCAACAACUAAACUAACACAAGGUCAUCCAUAUGGCACCUUUCCUUGGACAAGGCAUCCUCCAAUUGGCACGCGGUAAAUUGACUUAGAUUGUUUGCCCUGGCAAACUUAUGUACUCCAAUCUCAUCCACUGGACGAUGCUGGCUGUAUUUCUUGCGUGGACGAUCUUGUCGCCGACGGGCGAUGUUGUCCAGGGCAUUCCGGUCAAACUCGUAGGCGCCGACCUCAUUACCGCUGUCCAUGGACAUUGUGUUGGAAGGAUACGUUAAGGUUCAGAUAAAAUGAAGAAAUGAAGAAGCGCUCCUUCAUAGUAUGGAGAUGGUAGAAUCUUCAAGCAACUUUUGAACGACCAGGGAGAGUUGCUGAUAGGCGAAUUUGUAUGAAUCUAUAGAAUUCCUUUAUUCUUUCAAGGUAAAUGAAUGCUUAUGUAUUCGUCCGUUAGUAGCGUGAAGCUUUGAACACUCUUUGUACGGCAGAUUCGGCACAAUGUUUUGCCUCAUUGCGAUGUUGCCUGAAAAUUUUGAACAGAAGGGAUCACUGCUCAUGCUGGUGCAGCAAGACAUGUAAGGAGAUGGCCUGGUCACAAUCCAGCAGUCAUAUAUCGACAACCUCAAGCUAUGACAACUUGUUACAUGUGUCUGUAAUAAAAAAGUGACUUUGCAAUGGUGUGGGGAGCUCUUUGAGUGGUGGGACUGUGGAAAUCCAGUUUGUUUCGCCCGUAACGUUACUUGUUAACUUGUUAACAAGUUUGUUACGGGCGAAACAACGUCCCUCUGAAACGUUUGGAUAUGCCUAUGCAACACAUUUCCUCAAUUUCAUGAACUGCAAGUAUUCUAAUCCAACAUCACCCCAAUCUCAGUGUAAACUAGUCUCCAAAUGUGCCUGCACAAGACUGUCACCCCUGUCACCCGGCAUUCACAUUGCCUUAACCUCCUCAAGCUUGUCGGGGUGUGACACGUGGGCAUGAACCUUGUGACACUGGGCAUUGUCACAAAGAAACUGGUUGCAAUCAGAAAUGCAUUUUUCCUCAUGCCAGGUUACCGACAUCGGUUACCGAUUACUGGGGACGGUUAACGGAUAAUGGUUCGCCCGGUAAUCCUACCGACCGGUUACCCAUCUCGUUAACUGGACCCGUUAGGUCGGAACCGGGCCGGAACCGGCCUGGAGUAUGCCAUUGGGUGUUGGAAAUGACCGACACUCAUAUACCAGUGAAUGGUAGCCACAGUAAUAGGACCCAACGGGGGUCCGGCGCUUUGCUGGUCUUAACAGGUUAUGAGCCCCGAAUGGCGCAUUGCGCUGCCGAGAGGUCGCCGGAUCGAUACCCACUGGCUGUUGCCCAGAGAAUGGGAGACCGGGAUGAGGCACGGGAAGGCCCGGAGCGAGAGAGUGUCGCUCACAGGGGGGUGUUGGAAAUGACCGACACUCAUAUACCAGUGAAUGGUAGCCACAGUAAUAGGACCCAACGGGGGUCCGGCGCUUUGCUGGUCUUAACACGCGUGGUAGGGAAUCUCCGGCAGGUAGGCCGAGAUAUAAGCUACCCGGGCGGGGUGCUCUGGCCAGACACUGACGUAUCACAUCUACUAGGUGUUCAGAGUUCAAGACUUCGUUUCUGUUUUGUAUGCGUCUAUGUACACUAGUGCUUGCCGCUGAUUGUUUUGUACGCAUCUAUGUACGCUAGUGCUUGCCGCUGGGUUGGACUUAUUCCUACUCCGGCGAGGACUGCCAACACCACGCUUUUGCUUAUCCAGUCGACCCGCCAGGUGAGCGACUGCUACACCCUUUCAGAAGCUUUUGAAAGGGCGCCUGUUGAUGACCUUGUCUCCUUACUGUGCCAAUCAGGAGACAUAGAGGUGAAGGACUUGCUUGGUGAAAUGGGAUUGACUCCCUUGAAUGCUGCUUUGGUCGUGUCAAAGAUGUAGUAGUGAUGCUACGGUGUGCACAUAUGGCCUAGAUGGAUUAGAUUGCUGUAACUACAUAUUUACCUUGAGGUUAAGGCAGCCACUCUGAUCACCAGCUUGACUGACCAUUAACCCAAGGGACCGGUAACCAUACUGACUAGUAACCCAACUGACCACUAACCCAACUGACUGGUUAAUGUGUCUUUAACAAUCAUUAGUGGUCAGUAGUGGUCAGUAACCAACAUGUUUAUGCCAUAGGGCAGCGCACAUCACUCUGAAGGCCCUAGACAAGACCACUAUGCAGAAUUGUCCAAUACCCAGACAUAUCCCAUCACUGGCAUCCUCUUACCGUGCUUUGAGAACUUAUGACUCGUAAAGCAUAUUUUCUAUGAUGUUGCAGGAGGUUGGGCUUUUGCAGAGUGGCUUGUUGGGCACAGUGAACUUGGAAACCAGCUGUACGAGCUGGUGCAUGUCAGUGUCACCGCCGUGGUACUUGUCAACCCAUGCCUUGAUCAUAUCGAGUGUUGUCUCCUCUUGCUGCUGCUGGGAGCUGUGGGCACGUGGGUACCGCAGGGAGCACAGCUCACCUGACUUGCCCACCAGGUCUGAAAUCGUCCAGCCCUGCCGUGACAGGUAGGACUGCAACUGAUGCCAGCGCUGCAUCUGGCCCUGUGUCAGCUCAUUGUUCACAGCCUUGUUGAGUAGGGUGCCGAUGCUGCAGCUGCGGGGCCAUUUGUCACCGCGGAAUACGAAUUCAGUUGCCACCUCAUCCAGGAUGUAGGCAACCUGCCCCAGGAGCACUUGCUCGUCACGGCUUUUCUUCUCUGCUAUGAGACUCGCCACCAUUUCCUCCAGAUUUUUGACUGCCUGAUUGAGUGACGAGACCGUCGUCAGAUUCAUCUCGGCAAGGUCCUCUAGAGCUCUCCUGAUGACCGGUGUGCUGAUUUGAACAUCAAUUGCAAGCUUGUACGCCUUGUCCACGAAAGCGGAAACUUCGUCCACGUCCAUUGCCCUGACAAGCUUCUUUAGCUUCACCUCGGCAUCUGCAACAUCAUCGGCUCCCGAUGAAAGACUAUCUAGCAACACAAAGGCGGCGUCCACUCGCGACAUGGUCCCAACCGCCGUUUCGGGGGCGCACCAUGGCUGCUUUUCAGCCUAAAUGUACUGACUAGUUUAUACUACGAGGUCUUGAAAAUUAUCACGGCAAACGCGCAAAAGCCGUCCAAUGGGUGACUUCGUUAAGAGGAUUUAACGAGGGCCAGGUACAGGUCUAAACGAAAGUGUAACAAUAACUUAUUGCGUAUGUGUUGAAAAGAAGAGAAAUAUCUUGUGUGUAUGUAUGGAUGGAUGUUACAAGCUUCAGCGAGCUCGUACGGCCCAAACGAACCCGGAGGCUCAUGAACCGCUUUGACAGCGCCGUCGAUAGGAAAAAAUGAAAAAAAAGUAAACAAGAACACUUUUACGCGAGAAGAAAUCAAAUGGUUAUGAGAAAGAAAAGCGUCAACUUGACUCUGAAACACAAUUGCCUGUUAUCGCUGAGGAAGUUAGGUAACUAGGUGUUCAUGCCGGGAGUGAAACAUCUCAAAAAUUGCCUUCGCAAGACCACGCUGAUCAUCCACUUGCAUGAUAUCACGGAUAUCCGCGUUGACGGGCACAUCGAGGUCCCAGAGCUUCUGAUGCGCAGACACAAUCGCCGGGCAUUCUACCAAGGAAUGUUUCUCAUCCUCAAUAGCUCCAUUGCUACGACACACAGCGCACACGCGAUGCUCCUUAGUCCUGUUGCUCUCACUGUUAACCGCCAAGUCGGAGACACACAAACGAAAAUGGAUUAGGGCACGAUGAUGCGCCGGGGGAAUAUAACCCGCGUACUGCUUUGAUAGCCCCAUCCAGUGCCUAUGACGGCACAUCUUCACGCUGGGCUUCCUACCGUCCAUAGUGAAACUCUAGGGUCCACAGCCAGGAGGGUAGGAUCCGGGCUGGAAUUAGGGAAGAGCUCUGUCGCAGAAUUAGCCUGGAUUUUAUUCUGACAAAAGAAUUGGUCUGUCGAGAUCUUGAAUUGUUCUGGUGGGCUCGCUGGAGGUAUUCGAAUUGCGCUGUGGAGCCUCGGAAUUGGGCUGUGCUGGGCCUGAAUUGGCCUGUCCGGGUGUCGAAUUGGCCUGUCCAAGUCGUUUUUGGCCUAACAGGGUCGAAUUAGCCUGACAGGGUAUCGAAUUGACCUGUUCUGGGUGUCAAAUUGGCUCCGGCUGGCAUCCAAAAGCACAUGACUUUUAAGGAAUUUACAGAAAACUUAGGUUUUUAGGGUUUUAGGGAGUACACACGGGGGGAAAGAAUGGGCUAUUGCAGCGAAGCAACGCCCCAGAUAAGUGCUAAAAACGGUGCAUUAGAACAUGCAUAUUUGAAGCUUAGCCUAACGUUGUCCUUGGCCUCCGACUGCACCCACUACCCUCCAGAGCAUGGCUAGGAGCUUUUCGAGUCGAGGAACGUCCGUCAUACAUCGCUACAAGGUGUGUAUGGAUAGGGAGGGUCGGGGAAUUGGGGCUGGAAGGGUUGGGAGGGUCGUGGCACGGGAGUUGGCGGGGUAUGGGGGUUAGGGAGGGUCGGGGAAUAGGGGUUGGGAGGGUUGGGAGGGUCGGGGCACUGGGGUUGGCGGGGUAUGGGGGAUAGGGAGGGUCGGGGAAUCGGGGCUGGGAGGGUUGGGAGGGUCGUGGCACGGGGGUUGGCGGGGUAUGGGGGUUAGGGAGGGUCGGGGAAUCACAUUUCACAACUCACUUUUCAUGUCCCCCCCUCCCUUUGCCCCCUAAGGCCUGCCACACCAGGGAGGACGUGGAGUGCUGGCACUUCUCCUCAAAGUUACCAAACAGCAUAUAAAGGGCUGCGGGUUCUCUGUCUAGAUCUUUUGCAUGGGGGAUCUUGGAAAACCAGCAAACCUACAUGGCUGGCGUAGCUACACAAACAAAAGCCUUUUUAUCCCCCGGUUUCCGAGCUUAAGUUUUCCCAAAGCUCUCAGCCCAGUGCAGAGAGACUGUACGUCCUGUACUUGAUCAAGUACUGCACACACAGUCUCUCUGCACUGGGCUGUGAGCUUUGGAAAAUAUAAAAGAUACCCGUGGGAGCAUUUUUUAGUCAUGAAGCUUCAGACUUAAGUCAGACUCUUCAUCUAUCUUCAUCUAGCUAUCCAUGCCUACAUACCUAAUCUAUCCAGAUAGACAGACAAACAGACAGAUGGGUAGUUGUAUACAAACAGACAGACAGCCCAAUGGCAUACUCCAGGCCGGUUCCGGCCCGGUUCCGACCUAACGGGUCCAGUUAACGAGAUGGGUAACCGGUCGGUAGGAUUACCGGGCGAACCGUUAUCCGUUAACCGUCCCCAGUAAUCGGUAACCGAUGUCGGUAACCUGGCAUGAGGAAAAAUGCAUUUCUGAUUGCAACCAGUUUCUUUGUGACAAUGCCCAUUGUCACAAGGUUCAUGCCCACGUGUCACACCCCGACAAGCUUAGGAGGUUAAGGCAAUGUGAAUGCCGGGUGACAGGGGUGACAGUCUUGUGCAGGCACAUUUGGAGACUAGUUUACACUGAGAUUGGGGUGAUGUUGGAUUAGAAUACUUGCAGUUCAUGAAAUUGAGGAAAUGUGUUGCAUAGGCAUAUCCAAACGUUUCAGAGGGACGUUGUUUCGCCCGUAACAAACUUGUUACGGGCGAAACAAACUGGAUUUCCACAGUCCCACCACUCAAAGAGCUCCCCACACCAUCGCAAAGUCCCUUUUUUAUUACAGACACAUGUAACGAGUUGUCAUAGCUUGAGAUUGUCGAUAUAUGACUGCUGGAUUGUGACCAGGCCAUCUCCUUACAUGUCUUGCUGCACCAGCAUGAGCAGUGAUCCCUUCUGUUCAAAAUUUUCAGGCAACAUCGCAAUGAGGCAANNNNNNNNNNNNNNNNNNNNNNNNNNNNNNNNNNNNNNNNNNNNNNNNNNNNNNNNNNNNNNNNNNNNNNNNNNNACGGUCGGUAACCGGCAUGUUUAUACCAUAGGGCAGACAGGCAGACACAAGCAGGUGAUGUUGGGGUAACAAAAACACACAGACAACCACACAAUCACAGCACUGUUGGGGCACAUGGUGGAGUUGGGGUAACAUGAAAACAUGCACACACACAGACAGAGAGAGAGACACACACACACACACAGAGAGAGAGAGAGAGAGACACACACACACACACAGAGACACACACAUACACGCAUACAAGCACACAGAGAGAGAGACACACACAUACAUACACACACACAGAGUCUCACACACAUACACACACACACACACACAGUCUCACACACACAGUCACACACACAUACACGCACACAGUCACACACACACACAGUCUCACACAUACAUGUACACACACACACAUUGUAGCAAGCUACAUUUCCCAUAGAAUAUUUCAACGAUUACUCUUGACAAUAACUGUUAAUUCGUUAAUGAUUCGACUCGAGUUUUGUACAUGUUAUGAGUUUCGUCACAUGUCUCGAACAUGGCGGUUGUUCGCAGCAAACCCUUAGAAUACUUCAACGAUUACUCUUGACAAUAACUGUUAUUUCGUUAAUGAUUCGACCCGAGUUUCGUACAUGUUACGAGUUUCGUCACAUGUCUCGAACAUGGCGGUUGUUCGUAGCAAACCUAAUGGGCUGGGGCCCCGGGGCCCCACCGACAUUAUCCUAGUACGGCAGGACCAUGGUAGGGAAUGUCCGGCAGGUAGGCCGAGAUAUAAGCUACCCGGGCGGGGUGCACUGGCCAGACACUGAAGUAUCACGAAUACUAGGUGUUCGGAGUUCAAGUCUCCGCUGCCGCCAUAUAGAUUGUUUUUGUAUACGCGUCUAUGCAGACUAGUGCUUGCCUCGGCGAGGACUGUCAACUCAACGCUUCCGGGUAACAGGCUGUUGGGAGUUAGAGAUUGAUCAACGUCAUGACCAACCUAACAGCUGUGAGCACACAGCACGCACCUGCAGGCUUUGUGACUGCAGGGCGGUUCAAGGCGAAAUGCAUGCCUUUGUGAAAUGCCCGGUGUACACUAGUACACGGGCUAAGUACGAACAUGACCUCGCGUUUCAAGGGUUCAACGUGCACACGAUUUCACUGAGGCCCCACCCCUGGCACUAGCCAGGUUCCCCUCGGAAGUCUGGGAGACCCGGCACGUUGCUCUAUGGCGCUUCAUAUGCUCAAGUGGACGAGGGAGGACAAUGAUGGUCCACCAUGUAACUGCACUUCAAACGAUUUACCGUCCAUGGGCACGCCAGCUUUUAUGGACAACCCCGCACUUGUAUGGAACUUGUAACACACUCAAACACAUACAAAGACAGACACACAGACACACCCACCCACCCAUUUCAGUCAAACACACACACACACACAGACAGACAGACACACGGACAGACAAACAGAGACAGACAAAAGGAGAGACACANNNNNNNNNNNNNNNNNNNNNNNNNNNNNNNNNNNNNNNNNNNNNNNNNNUCUCCGAGCUUAAGUUUUCCCAAAGCUCUCAGCCCAGUGCAGAGAGACUGUACGUCCUGUACUUGAUCAAGUACUGCACAUACAGUCUCUCUGCACUGGGCUGUGAGCUUUGGAAAAUAUAAAAGAUACCCGUGGGAGCAUUUNUUAGUCAUGAAGCUUCAGACUUAAGUCAGACUCUUCAUCUAUCUUCAUCUAGCUAUCCAUGCCUACGUACCUAAUCUAUCGAGAUAGACAGACAAACAGACAGAUGGGUAGUUGUAUACAAACAGACAGACAGACAGGCAGACACAAGCAGGUGAUGUUGGGGUAACAAAAACACACAGACAACCACACAAUCACAGCACUGUUGGGGCACAUGGUGGAGUUGGGGUAACAUGAAAACAUGCACACACACAGACAGAGAGAGAGAGACACACACACACACACACACACAGAGAGAGAGAGACACACACACACACACACAGACACACACACACACACAGAGAGACACACACACACAUAGACACACACACACACACAGAGAGAGACACAUACACGCACACAAGCACACAGAGAGAGAGAGACACACACACAUAGAUACACACACAGAGUCUCACACACACACAGAGUCUCACACACACAGUCACACACACAUACACGCACACAGUCACACACACACAGUCUCACACAUACAUGUACACACACAUUGUAGCAAGCUACAUUUCCCAUAGAAUAUUUCAACGAUUACUCUUGACAAUAACUGUUAAUUCGUUAAUGAUUCGACUCGAGUUUUGUACAUGUUAUGAGUUUCGUCACAUGUCUCGAACAUGGCGGUUGUUCGCAGCAAACCCUUAGAAUACUUCAACGAUUACUCUUGACAAUAACUGUUAUUUCGUUAACGAUUCGACCCGAGUUUCGUACAUGUUACGAGUUUCGUCACAUGUCUCGAAUAUGGCGGUUGUUCGUAGCAAACCUAAUGGGCUGGGGCCCCGGGGCCCCACCGACAUUAUCCUAGUACUGCAGGACCAUGGUAGGGAAUGUCCGGCAGGUAGGCCGAGAUAUAAGCUACCCGGGCGGGGUGCACUGGCCAGACACUGAAGUAUCACGAAUACUAGGUGUUCGGAGUUCAAGUCUCCGCUGCCGCCAUAUAGAUUGUUUUUGUAUACGCGUCUAUGCAGACUAGUGCUUGCCUCGGCGAGGACUGUCAACUCAACGCUUCCGGGUAACAGGCUGUUGGGAGUUAGAGAUUGAUCAACGUCAUGACCAACCUAACAGCUGUGAGCACACAGCACGCACCUGCAGGCUUUGUGACUGCAGGGCGGUUCAAGGCGAAAUGCAUGCCUUUGUGAAAUGCCUGGCGUACACUAGUACACGGGCCAAGUACGAACAUGACCUCGCGUUUCAAGGGUACAACGUGCGCACGAUUUGACUGAGGCCCCACCCCUGGCACUAGCCAGGUUCCCCUCGGAAGUCUGGGAGACCCGGCACGUUGCUCUAUGGCGCUUCAUAUGCUCAAGUGGACGAGGGAGGACAAUGAUGGUCCACCAUGUAACUGCACUUCAAACGAUUUACCGUCCAUGGGCACGCCAGCUUUUAUGUACAACCCCGCACUUGUAUGGAACUUGUAACACUACAGACAGACAGAGACAGACCGACAGACAGAGACAGGCAGACAGACAGACAGACAGACAGACAGACAGACGUCCUUGGUGGAGUCCCAUGGUGGAGUACUCCUCAGGCUACAUCAACGCUUGUGGCACCAGCUCGAUUUCUUCUCUCUCUCUGUCUCUUCUCUCUCUUCUCUCUUUCUGUCUGUGUGUGUAAACACUCAUGUGGUACACACACACGCCCCCCAUGUACACACAAGCAGGCGAUGUUGGGGUAACAAUAAAACACACAACCACCCACACACAACCUCACACGCACACACAUGACUGUUGGGGUACAUGGUAGUGUUGGGGUAACAUGAAACACACGCAAUCACAGUCCUGAUGGGGCACAUGAUGGGGUUGGGGUAACAUGAAAACAUGCACACACACGGCCACAGAACUAUUCGGGUAUAUGUUGGUGUUGGGGUAACAUAAGACACAGAGACACACAGACAGACAGAGACAGAGAGACACAAACUCACACACACAGAGUCACACAGAGUCACACAGAGUCACACACAGUCACACACAGAGGCACAGAGACACACAUACAUAAACAGAGACACACACAGUCAAACGCACACAAAGACAGACACACACAGUCAAACACACACUAAGACAGAGACACAUACAUACACACAAAGACAGAGACACACACACACACACACACAUACACACAUACACACAUACACACAGACAUACUCACACACAUAAACCUGCCUGUCAUGCAUUAUUCUUCUACAUCAUAUCCUGUCAGCCAAACAUCUCAUUUCCGAAUUGGUGGGUGCCCAUCAAACAGAUAGAGCAGCAUCCGAGCAGCAUCUCCUACUUCCUGCUCUGCUGCCGCUGAAAUGUUGCUGCUGCUUCCGAAACGGAGGAUGCUGCCCUGCUGCACCGGAGGCAGGCGGCUAUAGCCCAUGCUACCAUCCCGUCCUUGAUGACCACGCCGGUUCUCAGCACGUGUUCCCCACACAAGAUGAAACGGGUUGAUGCAUGCACGCUCGUCACAGAUGUGCAUCACAUCAUACUGUGUGUGCGGCAGCACAUGUUGUUGUUGAGGUUGCUGCUGGGGUUGUUGCUGCUGCAUAGACGGGACAGCAGACACUGGAUGAUGGUUGGGCAACAGGAGGAAUGGAGGAGGUCCACGGAAGGCCCACAAAAUGAGCCGGCAUGCAUUUGUGGAGCUUGUGUACACAUCAAGAUCCGCACCCCCCUUACUGCAAUAAGCGGCCUUGGUGUUCUUGCAUUUUACCUGUGUCUUCUUGCCCCGCUGCAGCUGUUGCUUCUGGGGUUUGGUGCCCUGCUUCUUGGGGCGGGCAUCCUGCUGCGCCGUCAUUGUGUUCUGCUGCUUCUGCCGCUGCUGCUGCUGCUGCUGCUGCUGCUGCUGGCUUCUGGUGUUUGGACGACGGUGGCUGUUGCUCCCAGGAGCAGCAGCAGCCGCCGCCGCCGCCGCCGCCGCCGCAGCUGCAGCCGCAGCAGCCGCCGCAGCCGCCGCAGCCACAGCAGCAGCAGCAGCGCCACCAAACAGCAGGCGUGCCUUCUUGUUUGGGUAUUCCUUCCGUCGUGGCAUCAUCAUUGCUGGUGGCUGUCGUGUUGGCGGCUUGAUUGUUGUUGUGAUGGUUGCAGGCGGGGUGGUGGGCAGGGUUUCAGCAUUAUGAAUGGUGGAGAUGAUGUGCUGCUGCUGCUGCUGCUGCUGUGGUGGUGGCGGUGGUGGCAGCGACGGUUUGGAGGGGCUUGCUGCUGCUAGUCUACUUUCUGCUCCUACUCCUACUCCUGCUCCUGCUCCUCCGCCUCGAUCUUUAUCCAGCAUCAUCUCCUGCUCCUGCUCCUGCUCCUGCUCCUGCUCCUGCUCCUGCUCCUGCUCCUGCUCCUGCUCCUGCUCCUGCUCCUGCUCCUGCUCCUGCUCCUGCUCCUGCUCCUGCUCCUGCUCCUGCUCCUGCUCCUGCUCCUGCUCCUGCUCCUCCUCCACAGCAGUGCUGCUGAAAGCUCUCCACCUCUCAGCCUGAAGUUCCUCCUCCUCCUCCUCCUCCUCCUCCUCCUCCUCCUCCUCCUCCUCCUCCUCCUCCUCCUCGUCCCCCUCCCGCCAGCACUCUAUAAUAAUAAUAGCACGUGCCGCCUCCUCACGUACGUUUUGCUUUUCCUGCUUCUUCCUGUCCUGCAGCAUGCAGAAAAAAAACGUUAUAUUAUAAUAUAUCUACAUUAAGAAAAAACACAUUUUCUUGUUUCAACAAUUCAACAAUGAUUGUUAUUAUUUAUAAAACAAAAGUUGAAGAAAGCUUAAUACAUCGUCUCACGCUGCUGCUGGACACGUCGAUUAACAUAACGCGUCAGCGAUGAACCCAAAUCGCAAUGAUGAUGAUGCUAUGUGCCCGCUUCCGCUCCCGUACUUAUACUUAUUACUUUUCUUAUUACUGCUAAUUGUAAAAACUUUGAGCGACUCUUCCCGGCAAAAUUUUAAUAACGAUGACGACGACGACGACGACGUCGAGGAUUGACGACCAGACCCCCACCAGCGAGCGCGAUCGCAUCGCAUAUUCUUAUUCUUAUUCUUAUCCUUAUUCUUGUUCUGAUCACAGAGCACAGCAGAGGCGGCACAGUAAAGUUUUAGUGGUGGUGGAUCAUCGGCGGGUUGGCACGCUUGUGCACGCGGCGAGAUUGUUGUUGGUAUAUAUACCGUUAGGGUUAUUAUUAUUACUUUACAUAUGUGCCAAAUCGUGCCAAGUAGAUACAGCAGCAUUGUUUGAUUGUGUUGGUGUAGAUAUGCAUAUAGAGAGAGAUCGUGUGUCCGACGAGAAGGGAAAAGGGAGCAUACACAACAACAACAACAAUAUGUACAACUACUACGUGGGUGCAUCAUCGCCACACCGUCGUGCAUGCGCGUGUCCCAUAAUAUCCACAUACCCGCGGAGCCAUCAUAUGCUGCUGCGUAUGUGUANNNNNNNNNNNNNNNNNNNNNNNNNNNNNNNNNNNNNNNNNNNNNNNNNNUACAUCAUAUCCUGUCAGCCAGCCAAACAACUCAUUUCCGAAUUGGUGGGUGCCCAUCAAACAGAUAGAGCAACAUCCGAGCAGCAUCUCCUACUUCCUGCUCUGCUGCCGCUGAAAUGUUGCUGCUGCUUCCGAAACGGAGGAUGCUGCCCUGCUGCACCGGAGGCAGGCGGCUAUAGCCCAUGCUACCAUCCCGUCCUUGAUGACCACGCCGGUUCUCAGCACAUGUUCCCCACACAAGAUGAAACGGGUUGAUGCAUGCACGCUCGUCACAGAUGUGCAUCGCAUCAUACUGUGUGUGCGGCAGCACAUGUUGUUGUUGAGGUUGCUGCUGGGGUUGUUGCUGCUGCAUAGACGGGACAGCAGACACUGGAUGAUGGUUGGGCAACAGGAGGGAUGGAGGAGGUCCACGGAAGGCCCACAAAAUGAGCCGGCAUGCGUUUGUGGAGCUUGUGUACACAUCAAGAUCCGCACCCCCCUUACUGCAAUAAGCGGCCUUGGUGUUCUUGCAUUUUACCUGUGUCUUCUUGCCCCGCUGCAGCUUUUGCUUCUGGGGUUUGGUGCCCUGAUUCUUGGGGCGGGCAUCCUGCUGCACCGUCAUUGUGUUCUGCUGCUUCUGCUGCUUCUGCUGCUGCUGCUGGCUUCUGGUGUUUGGACGACAGUGGCUGUCGCUCCCAGGAGCAGCAGCAGCAGCAGCAUCCAUGGGCAGCUCUUGUUUUUGCGGCUGCUUCUGGAGUGAUACUAAUUGCCAUGGUCCUGUGAUCAUGACCCGGGGAUAGUCACUGCGAUGCUGCUUGCUGAUGAUAAUGUCGAUCUUUGCACCAGCAGCACCAGCAGCGCCAGCAGCAUCAGCAGCACCAGCAGCACCAGCACCAGCAGCACCAGCAGCACCAGCACCACCUCCACCGUGACCACCACCACCACGACCACCACAACCACCACCACCACAACCACCACCAGCAGCAGCACCGGCAGCAGCACCAGCAGCUGCUGCUGUGGUGCAUUGGAGCACCUGGAAGGGGUUCAUGUGUUUGACAUGAUGGAACGGCUGUACCUCCUGGAUCAUGUCACCGUGAUGUUUGCUGUACACUUGUUCAUGGCCGGGAUAGGAUGUUCGUUCCCCACCCUUUUUGGAGGGGGAGGACUUGCACAUGAAACAACAUGGAGACAUGCUGAGAGCCUCCCUCAUGUUGCAGCAACCGUGCAUCAUCCGCGCUGCCACUGUAGCAGGUGCAGUCGUUGUUGUAGCCAACCUGUUGGUCAUAUUAUCCUCCUCCUCCUUCUCCUCCUCCUCCUCCGCCGCCGCCGCCGCCGCUGCCGCCGCCACCUUCUGCUCCUCCUCCUCCUCACCAUCCUCCUCACCAUCCUCAUCCUCAUAAUCACCAUCAUGAUGUGCAGUAGUAAUGGUGGCACUGCUGCCAGUGGUGCAUUGCUGCUGCUGCUGCUGCUGCUGCUGCUGCUGCUGCUGCUGCUCAUUACUAUAGCGGUAGCAGAUGGGAAGCUGCAGCAGCAUUGCAUUUUGGAUGACCAGGUUGGCAUCCUCAUCUGCAGGGUCGAGUUGCAGUCUUCGAGCAAUAACCUGCGCCCUGUGGUUCCACCCCGGAACAUCUUGUGCAGCUACAAUUCGGAACUUGGGGCGCAGACGGCUGCCAAUAGCUGCAAGGAUGGCAUACGUGCGGCACAGCAGCAUGACAUCGCCAUCGUCGGCAACAGGAGGGUGAUGUCUUGUGUGUGGCACCCAGCUGAGGAUUCCCAACAUAUGGACCCCACAUCUGUACAGCCGCUGCUUGACAUCUUCAUCUGUCCACCUGUGCAACAUAUUGAGAGACAGAUAUACACACACACACACACACACACACACACACAGAGACGGAGAGACGGAGAGACGGAGAGAGGUGUUAUAUAAAAAAACCUACAGGUUAAACAUAUGUAACCCUAAGUCCUAGCGGUAAACAUAGUGUAUGUGUGAAUGUAUGUAUGUGUGUGUGUGUGAAUGUAUGUAUGUGUGUAUGUAUGUGUGUGUGUAAGGAAGAAAGCUAUAAUAUACAGCCUGCUGCCUCUCUAUAUAUCUAUACCUUCUUUGUGGGUCACGGUGGUGGCCUCGGGCAGUGGAUCUGUGGUUGACAACUGCUGGUGGCUGCUUCUUCUUCCACCAUCUGGCAGUAGCACUAGUAGUAGCAGCAGCAGCAGCAGCAGCCGCAGCCGCAGCAGCUGCAGCAGCAGCAGCAGCACCAUCAUCAUCGUCAUCGUCAUCAUCAUCAUCAUCAGCAGCCGCACCCGCAGCAGCAGCCGCCGCUGCCGCAGCUGCCGCCGCCGCCGCAGCCGCCGCCGCCGCCGCAGCAGCAGCAGCACCAAACAGCAGGCGUGCCUUCUUGUUUGGGUAUUCCUUCCGUCGUGGCAUUAUCAUUGCUGGUGGCUGUCGUGUUGGUGGCUUGAUUGUUGUUGUGAUGGUUGCAGGCGGGGUGGUGGGCAGGGUUUCAGCAUUAUGAAUGGUGGAGAUGAUGUGCUGCUGCUGCUGCUGCUGCUGCUGCUGCUGCUGCUGCUGUGGUGGUGGCGGUGGUGGCAGCGACGGUUUGGAGGGGCUUGCUGCUGCUAGUCUACUUCUUUCUGCUCCUACUCCUACUCCUGCUCCUGCUCCUCCGCCUCGAUCUUUAUCCAGCAUCACCUCCUGCUCCUGCUCCUGCUCCUCCUCCCCAGCAGUGCGGCUGCUCUCCACCUCUCAGCCUGAAUCUCCUCCUCCUGCUCCCAAACCUCUUCCUCCUCUUCCCCCUCCCGCCAGCACUCUAUAAUAAUAGCACGUGCCGCCUCACGUACGUCUUGCUUUUCCUGCUUCUUCCUGCAGCAUGCAGAAAAAAAACGAUAUAUUAUUAUAUAUACAUUAAAAAACACAUUUUCUUGUUUCAAUUCAACAAUGAUUGUUAUUAUCAAUAAACCAAAAGUUGAGCUGCACAAGUCGGUAAAUAUAUCACGUCAGCGAACAACCCUGACCGCAACCGCAGUUGUUGCAUCAGCCGUGACUUGAACCCACGUUCACCUAUUGCGCAUUCGUAUUGCAAUUACUACAAUGUCUCAGCACUUAUUAGGCUCACUCACCACUCCUCUCCGGGAGUAGGCGAUGACUUUGACCGGGCAGCGUUAGCCUAUAUCCUAUAACUUUCUUGUGAAUCGCCCUUACUGCCGGCGUGUCCUUUCGAGGACGCUAAAGCUGUUUCUUUGUGCUUUUGUUGCGGUGUAUUGAUUGGUAUUUGUCUUGUUCCGUGGCUCGCGCGCAUUAGACACAUGUCUGUUUCUGCUUCUUCGCGGCUUGUUUUCUACUUGGCGCCUGCUCCAUAAAUAGAAUUUUAAAAACGUCCUGAUAGCUCUCGCUGUGACGGUCUCAUUUCAAUUGUCUGUUUGUCGUCGGCGAGCGGUGAGAAGUAGGGGCGGCGCACUUUAUUACUAAUAAUAAUGACGUAUAGUACGACAAAGCACACAUGAGCAGCACGGCUGCUGUGCUUCUUCUUUUGCGGUUUCCGUCGUCGUUGUUGUUGUUGUUGUGUACCGAUUAUUAUUUUGUUGUUGUUACAUUCAUUAUUGUUGACCCUAAGUAUUCAAGUAAUAAUAUAUAAUGCAUGUGCCGCAGAACAUGAUGAUGAAUGAUGAUGCUAUGUGCCCGCUUCCGCUCCCGUACUUAUACUUAUUACUUUUCUUAUUACUACUACUAAUUGUAAAAACUUUGAGCGACUCUUCCCGGCAAUUUUUAUAACGAUGACGACGACGACGACGACGAGGACGAGGAUGAGGACGAGGAUUGACGACCAGACACCACCACCAGCGAGCGCGAUCGCAUCGCAUAUCAUUAUAUUCUUAUUCUGAUCAUCACAGAGCACAGCAGAGGCGGCACAGCAAAGUUUUAGUGGUGGUGGAUCAUCGGCGUGUUGUGCACGCGGCAUUGUGUUGUGCACGCGGCGAGAUUGUUGUUGGUAUAUAUACCGUUAGGGUUAUUAUUAUUAUUAUUUUACAUAUGUGCCAAAUCGUGCCAAGUUGAUACAGCAGCAUUGUUUGAUUGUGUUGGUGUAUAUAUGCAUAUAGAGAGAUCGUGUGUCCGACGAGAAGGGAAAAGGGAGCAUACACAACAACAACAACAUGUACAACUAUACGUGGGUGCAUCAUCGCCACACCGUCGUGCAUGCGCGUGUCCCAUAUAAUAUCCACAUACCCGCGGAGCCAUCAUAUGCUGCGUAUGUGUACUACUACUAAUAAAGUAGUAUCACGUACAGUACGACAUGUACAACAACCCAACAGACAGACCAACAACAUACAUCGCAAGUGCAGUGCGCGGAUAUACAUACAUACAUACAUACAUACAUACAUACAUACACACACCCACAGUCUAAGUAUUUAAUAAAAACUCUCCCACAGUCUCCCUCGACAUCAUCCGCUCAGUCUCGCCGUCCGUAUCCGUAUCGCCGGUCCCCAUCGCCAUCGUCUCCCGGGGCCGGUCCCUCCCUCCAUAUAGGUAGGUUCUCUAGGUAUAUAAUAUCGUGGUGUACAACAGAGUGUGCACGUGAGCCGUCAUCAACGUAUAUAAGAUACAGCAUACGUGUCUGCACCACAUAGAUAGACAUAUGUACGUGUGCACAUCUCUGAGCAGCCCUGUGCAUGGUCUCCGCUUGAUAAUAGAUGAGGUUGUUAUCAUCACCUAGUUCAUACAUACAUGCAUGCAUACCCUGCUCUGUGAAGAUGACAAAAAAGAGGUAUAGGUAUAGGUACAACUACUACUACUACUACUACUACUACUACUACCACUACUAUCUGGAUUCUUUUGCCUGGGUGGCUGGCAAUAAUAAUUAUAUAUUUCAAAGUUACUCUGCUGCGGCCGCCAUAUGUAUUAUAUAGCAUCAUCCCUAUGGCAUACUCCAGGCCGGUUCCGGCCCGGUUCCGACCUAACGGGUCCAGUUAACGAGAUCGGUAACCGGUCGGUAGGAUUACCGGGCGAACCGUUAUCCGUUAACCGUCCCCAGUAAUCGGUAACCGAUGUCGGUAACCUGGCAUGAGCCAAAAUGAAAUUAAUACUGAGAUAUCUAAGAUGAGAAUGUAGUAUGAGUAAUGCUAAAAAUUACUCAUAGAUAGGUACGAUGACCGUACACACAAAUCGAAAUUGAAAUACAGGAGCCACUAAAUUGUUUGGCUAAAUUACUUUAGCCGUAUAUUGUGAAGACAUUCCAUUUAGCAUCACUGUGUCCCCCUACCAAAAUGGAAGCGUGCUAAAGAACGUUCCUGAGAACGCUAAGAAUGCUAAGAACGGCUUAAGAAUGCUGGUGCUGCUGAGAAUGAUCUUAUGCCAGUCUCAAGCAUUCUUAUGACGGUUUAAAGAAUCGACAAAAGGGUAGGUGUUGGUAGUUGACAGUUUAGCCAGAGGAUCAUUUAGCCUGGCUGCUAAUUGUGUUGCAUGUUACUUCACCACACUUGUGUAUUGUGUAGGCAAAAAGCGCCAACUAAUGGGCCUGCCGGCUGUCCCUCCACAAGGAGAGAAGUACAAUGCGGACAAACUCUUGUUGGAGGUGAAGGAGGCGUUUGGUCAUCAUGACUAUUCAUAGAAGGGCAUGGCUGGACAGGAUACCGCAAAUGCUGGUGAGAUUUUUACCCGCUGAACCUGUUGGCUAUUGUGUGAACAUUUAUGGCAUAUCCACCUCACCAUGCAGCAGGUGUUGUAGUUGAGUGUUUGGGGUGUCACUACCUCGUGCUUUGAAUUAGUAUGCUUUGCAUUAUCAUUUGUAUAUUGUCCUAUGUACUGUAUCACCUCACUAUUGUAUAACACUCUGCAGGUGGGGAGUUGGAGGCCCUAUGGCAUAAACAUGCCGGUUACCGACCGUUNNNNNNNNNNNNNNNNNNNNNNNNNNNNNNNNNNNNNNNNNNNNNNNNNNUUUCAAGGUAAAUGAAUGCUUAUGUAUUCGUCCGUUAGUAGCGUGAAGCUUUGAACACUCUUUGUACGGCAGAUUCGGCACAAUGUUUUGCCUCAUUGCGAUGUUGCCUGAAAUUUUUGAACAGAAGGGAUCACUGCUCAUGCUGGUGCAGCAAGACAUGUAAGGAGAUGGCCUGGUCACAAUCCAGCAGUCAUAUAUCGACAAUCUCAAGCUAUGACAACUUGUUACAUGUGUCUGUAAUAAAAAAGGGACUUUGCGAUGGUGUGGGGAGCUCUUUGAGUGGUGGGACUGUGGAAAUCCAGUUUGUUUCGCCCGUAACAAGUUUGUUACGGGCGAAACAACGUCCCUCUGAAACGUUUGGAUAUGCCUAUGCAACACAUUUCCUCAAUUUCAUGAACUGCAAGUAUUCUAAUCCAACAUCACCCCAAUCUCAGUGUAAACUAGUCUCCAAAUGUGCCUGCACAAGACUGUCACCCCUGUCACCCGGCAUUCACAUUGCCUUAACCUCCUCAAGCUUGUCGGGGUGUGACACGUGGGCAUGAACCUUGUGACAAUGGGCAUUGUCACAAAGAAACUGGUUGCAAUCAGAAAUGCAUUUUUGCUCAUGCCAGGUUACCGACAUCGGUUACCGAUUACUGGGGACGGUUAACGGAUAACGGUUUGCCCGGUAAUCCUACCGACCGGUUACCCAUCUCGUUAACUGGACCCGUUAGGUCGGAACCGGGCCGGAACCGGCCUGGAGUAUGCCGUUGGGAGGUCAACCCCACAGAAGGAGAUGGUGUGCCCGAUAUGGGACCGGAGGUGGACGUGAUGACAGGAACUGUAGGAGAGGAACCGGCGGAUGAUUGGAUGGACGACACUCUUGCCCAGUUGCAUGAACCUAGCCGCCGGCACCUGCUUCCAGAGCCGGCAUUCGCACGGAUACGAAAAGAGACGCGUCUACUGUCAGAGGAUGAGGAGGAGUAUGAGAGUGAGGGUAGUAGCCCGGAGUGCACCCAGCAAGAGGGUGAGGUUGACACAGGGGAGGGGGAGGAGAGUGAGUCCGAAUUGUCUGAGGAGGAAUUGGAUGAGAAGACGGUGGGUGGAAGUGGAAAGCAGCGGAGUGUGCAACAGCACCCUAAGCGCCCAAGUGGUAACAGGCCUGUGGUGAUGGAGCAGUCUGCCAGGGGACAGCCGGCAAAGAGGGUAAAGGCUUCUACCUCUGCUCCAGAGUUAGUGGAUACUGGCGCGUACGGCCUGUGUGUCGAAGGAGCUAAGACCCCCAGCAGGGGCAGAAGCAGGGGGCGAGGCAGCCAGGAGCAAGGGAAAGGGCUUGGAGCAAAGCCCCCCAGGGGCAGGGGCAGGGGCAGGGGCAGGGGCAGGGGCUAGCAUAGCUUGUGUAGCUAGUAUUGCCUUUAAGUUGUUGCAUUUAAGCUUGUGAGUUGGNNNNNNNNNNNNNNNNNNNNNNNNNNNNNNNNNNNNNNNNNNNNNNNNNNCGGCAUGUUUAUGCCAUAGGGAGUAUCCCGGUAGCGCGGGAAGCAUCGUUCGCCAAUAUUAAUUAAAGGCCUCUAACGCUGCAGGAAAAUUUUAGUAGAAGAUUUAGAACUAUGUAUGUGUUAAGUUUUAGCGUUUGUUCCCGCUUUGAGGGCGUGAAAUGCCGUGUCAUUGUCCCUAAUAAGUCAUUGUCCCGGCAUUUCAAUUGUCGCCCAUAAGCAUGAACAAGGCGUGGGCGAUCUUGUCGCCGACGGGCGAUGUUGUCCAGGGCGUUCCGGUCAAACUCGUACGCGCCGACCUCAGUACCGUUGUCCAUGGACAUUGUGUUGGAAGGAUACGUUAAGGUUCAGAUAAAAUGAAGAAAUGAAGAAGCGCUCCUUCAUAGUAUGGAGAUCGUAGAAUCUUCAAGCAACUUUUGAACGACCAGGGAGAGUUGCUGAUAGGCGAAUUUGUAUGAAGCUAUAGAAUUCCUUUAUUCUUUCAAGGUAAAUGAAUGCUUAUGUAUUCGUCCGUUAGUAGCGUGAAGCUUUGAACACUCUUUGUACGGCAGAUUCGGCACAAUGUUUUGCCUCAUUGCGAUGUUGCCUGAAAUUUUUGAACAGAAGGGAUCACUGCUCAUGCUGGUGCAGCAAGACAUGUAAGGAGAUGGCCUGGUCACAAUCCA
rnacentral:lncRNA from 1 species